AUGAUGGAUCUGGACCAAACUUGGCACGAAUAUGCAAUAUGCCCAAAUGUGAACACUGGUGGAGUUUGGGGGAAAUAGACCUUGACAUUUGGAAGUUGUAGUUGCUGGGAUUUAUAGUUCAACUAUCAUCAAAGAGCAUUCUGAACUUCACCAAUGAUGGAAUUGAACCAAGCUUGGCACACAGAACUCCCAUAACCAACAGACCUCCCAUGACUCACAACCUCUGAGGGUGCCUGCCAUAGAUGCAGGCAAAAUGUCAGGAGAGAAUGCUUCUAGAACAUGGCCAUAUAGCCCAAAAAACCUAGAACAACCCAGCUGACAUGUUGCUGAUUAAUGAAGCAUGAUCAUUCUUGUGCGAUCCGUCCCUUCGCACAAUUUAACCCGAUCAUGAUCCAGAUUUUGGGGUUAACAUGCAACGAUCCCCCUUUAAUUUAUUUGUGUGACGAAAGAAGACGAGAAGAAGUGUCGGAUGACAUCGUGGUUUAAUAAACCACGAAUCCUGGCUUAACGUGGCAGUUUGAAUGCAGCCAAUGUGUGAUGUGUAUAAGAAAUGUUAGUGGGUCAUCCCACAGAUAUAUAAACCCAUUUUCCUAGUUCCAACAGACCUCACUACCUCUGAGGAUGCUUGCCAUAGAUGCAGGCGGAACGUCAGGAGAGAAUGCCUCUAGAACAUGGCCAUAUAGCCCGAAAAACCUACAACAACCCACUGUUAGUGGCUCAUUUUUUAAAAUCUGAAACCAUGCUCCUCUCUGGCUUGCUUUGUCCCAUCAAUGUCUUUGGGACAAGAUGCCCUUUGCUCUUGAGUGGAGGAGAGCUCUUGUCCGCAUGGUCUAUAAGCUGAUGCUCUUGGCUUCUGGAUGUCUUUGGUGGCCAAACUUCAUGCUUUAUAUUCCAUGAUCUUGGCUUCUUUGGUGGCCAAACUCCACACUUUCUGUUGUUCAGCAUGGAAUGACAACGGUGUGAGGAACUGAGGCCUGCUGUUUGGAAGCUCCAUAAGAUAAUAGAGAAGCUUUUCCUGUGACUCAAGUGUCUCCAUGUUGUGUGUCGUCCCCAUCAAGACCAUUUAUGAAGGACAAGCCACCAUCUGUCCCAUGCUAAACACAGGGUCGCUUUGUGUUUGCCAUACAAUGUAGUUCUGGUGUUGGAGGGCCACAUCUUCUGUAGCAGUCUGGACACGGCAGAGAUGUCAAACUGGUGGACCUUCAGGUGUUGAGAACCACUGUGUUGGGGGCUCUUACCUCCAGUGACCGGGAAUUCUGGAAACUGGAGUCCAGUACAUCUGGAGAGCCACAAGUGGGACACCUCUGGGACCUGGGACUGACCCAUAGCAUGCACCCUUGUCCAACUUCAUCCCCUUUGCUCCAAGAGCCCUUGACGUCCGCUCUCAAAAGUCUCGUGCAGCACGACCUUCUUGUUGUGUAGCCUCCACCUCUGACAGCCUGUUUGUGGCAGUUCUGGUGUCGCGCAAAGGAUUUCGGGUCUCUCUGGAACUGCCGGGACUCUUGACGAAAGAGUGACCAAAGCUGGGCAAAACUGCCACCCUCUUUUUACGGAGCUGUAAUGUGCCUUUUCUGUUUUUCUCCUCUCUUUGUUUUCAGUUGUGUUGGAUUAGAUUUGUUUUCGGUGAGCAAACGGAAAAAAAAAACGUGUAAAAACCCUUUGAGUGUGAACCUCUCGUUUUCCAUAGAUUGUUAGCUAAUUUUUUUUUGGAUUAAAUUAUUACUCACUCUC